AUUGAACGCUGGCGGCAGGCCUAACACAUGCAAGUCGAGCGGAUGAAGGGAGCUUGCUCCUGGAUUCAGCGGCGGACGGGUGAGUAAUGCCUAGGAAUCUGCCUGGUAGUGGGGGAUAACGUCCGGAAACGGGCGCUAAUACCGCAUACGUCCUGAGGGAGAAAGUGGGGGAUCUUCGGACCUCACGCUAUCAGAUGAGCCUAGGUCGGAUUAGCUAGUUGGUGGGGUAAAGGCCUACCAAGGCGACGAUCCGUAACUGGUCUGAGAGGAUGAUCAGUCACACUGGAACUGACACACGGUCCAGACUCCUACGGGAGGCAGCAGUGGGGAAUAUUGGACAAUGGGCGAAAGCCUGAUCCAGCCAUGCCGCGUGUGUGAAGAAGGUCUUCGGAUUGUAAAGCACUUUAAGUUGGGAGGAAGGGCAGUAAGUUAAUACCUUGCUGUUUUGACGUUACCAACAGAAUAAGCACCGGCUAACUUCGUG
rnacentral:rRNA from 1 species